UACGAAGGGUGCAAGCGUUACUCGGAAUUACUGGGCGUAAAGCGUGCGUAGGUGGUUCGUUAAGUCUGAUGUGAAAGCCCUGGGCUCAACCUGGGAAUGGCAUUGGAUACUGGCGACCUAGAGUGCGGUAGAGGGGUGUGGAAUUCCCGGUGUAGCAGUGAAAUGCGUAGAUAUCGGGAGGAACACCGGUGGCGAAGGCGGCGACCUGGGUCGGUACUGACGCUGAGACGCGAAAGCGUGGGGAGCGAACAGG
rnacentral:rRNA from 1 species